CACACAUACAUACAUACAUAUACACACACACACACUACUUGUGUAACUACUUGUGUGUGUAAACAAGUAGUUAAUAUAGGAGAGAAUCUAACACCUAGCUACAGGUUAUUUAACGGAUUUAUUUACAAGGAAUAUAAUAAAAGUAUCAUGAAAAUAAAAACCCAGCCGUCUCUUUUCCUCAGCGUAAUUAGCUAACUUAGUUGUUAGCUGGCUCUGAAAACGUUAGCUGUAACAUUAGCGAACCAGUAAUAUUCAAAUAAAACAUUUAAAGCACGCCAAAAGCAUAAAUUUAUAAGCAGACUGAGAGAAGUUCAUCUUAAUAAGCCCGGCUAGUCAGACUGAACUAAGUUUAUUUAUAUUAGCGUUAGCUAGCACGCCGCAUAACAAUAACCUUUACAAGCAAAACCACGUAGUUAGCUUAGCUACCAGAGCACUUCUCAAACCCUGCCUCGGAGAAAGUUUGCUAGAUGUAGAAUACAUUCGAAAUAUACACAUAUCUUACGAGUACUUUAAAAAGAAGUAAUAAAAUGAACGCCGUCACUGAGAGAACUCGGAGGUAACUAGCUAGUUCCGGCGACAGAUUUGUCGUCGUUCCAGACUUUUAGUGGAAAUGGUAGGCUCUGUAUGCGCGACCUCUAAACAAUCCGAGGCUCCUGGAGCGGAGUAACUUCUCAAACAGCGGCCAGUGUGGAGCGAACCGAUCCCUCUGGAAAGGAACUGCAGGACAUUUUAUAUCACGGUUUAUAUCACUGCUGCGAAACCGUGAAUGCCGACUGAGUCAGUAGUUGCCCACGACUCGGAGAAACUCUCGAUCCAUCGCCGACUCACAUUAAACUAUUUUAACGACGCGCCGUCCAUCAGAGACGAGACAAGCGAGUCUCAUUUACCGUAGUGAAGUUUCAGCUCAGCAGCGCCUCGCUGCGGACAACCCGG
ensembl:lncRNA